rnacentral:rRNA from 1 species
UGGUGGAGUGAUUUGUCUGGUUAAUUCCGUUAACGAACGAGACCUUAGCCUACUAACUAGUCGAACCAAUCUCGAUUGGCUCCGACUUCUUAGAGGGACUUUGUGAAACAACACAAGGAAGUUUGAGGCAAUAACA